UUUUAUUUACUAAUUAAUCAUAUUUUAUAUAUUUUUUAUUGAACAGAAGGGUAAAUAUGUACAUUAACAAAAUGAAUUUACACUCCACAACUUCCCAAUUACCAUCAUUUACGAGGAAUACAUUUGGGAAAAUUUGUUUCUCUCUCAACCAUCCUGCCGCCUUCCCCCUCCCUUGUGCAGUCACCUUGCCGCUUUCUUCAUCCCUCUUCGCCGUCAAUAGCAGUGAUGAGCGGCAACGCCCGCCACCUCCUCGCUAACGCAGUUCAACACAGUAGGCUGGACCAAGGCUUCGGUCGCCGGGAUCUGCUUGUCGACGCACGCGAUCGCCGCUAACUUCACGUAACGGGCCCGUCAAAGCACACGGCUAUCGCCGUUCUUGGUCCGAUCGCGCGUCCCCGCGCUUGCUGCCCAUCUCGCCGAUCAAGGCGAGGAUCUAGGUUCGCGAUUUUCCCUGUUCGGCGGCUAACAACAAAGGAUUGAUGUUGCUGCUACCACGUACUUAAAUUGCAAGCCUGCGGUUGGAAGUGCAGCUGAAAACAAGUAGGAGUAGUUUUAUAGUCGACUCCAUUUAACUCGGACAUCAUCGGCAUUUUGCAAUGAUGGGACACAAAAUAUUGCAAACUGCAGGAACUGUUCGUUUACAAAAAUAUGUUCUGUUCAUUUAUAAAUUGUAUUCUGUUCAUUUACAAAUUGUAUAUUCAUGAAUAAUAUACUUGUUUCAGUGUA